GAUGAACGCUGGCGGCGUGCCUAAUACAUGCAAGUCGAGCGAACAGACGAGGAGCUUGCUCCUCUGACGUUAGCGGCGGACGGGUGAGUAACACGUGGAUAACCUACCUAUAAGACUGGGAUAACUUCGGGAAACCGGAGCUAAUACCGGAUAAUAUAUUGAACCGCAUGGUUCAAUAGUGAAAGACGGUUUUGCUGUCACUUAUAGAUUGAUCCGCGCCGCAUUAGCUAGUUGGUAAGGUAACGGCUUACCAAGGCAACGAUGCGUAGCCGACCUGAGGGGUGAUCGGCCACACUGGAACUGAGACACGGUCCAGACUCCUACGGGAGGCAGCAGUAGGGAAUCUUCCGCAAUGGGCGAAAGCCUGACGGAGCAACGCCGCGUGAGUGAUGAAGGUCUUCGGAUCGUAAAACUCUGUUAUUAGGGAAGAACAAAUGUGUAAGUAACUAUGCACGUCUUGACGGUACCUAAUCAGAAAGCCACGGCUAACUACGUG
rnacentral:rRNA from 1 species